CUGCUUUCCUGCCAACCUGACCCAAAUACUGUCCCUGCUGGGACCCCGCUCUUCACUGGUUUAUAGAGACUAGUAAGCAGCUUCUCUGGCCUACACUGCCCUCAGGCCCAUCCCCCAGUGUCCUCAUCUUCUUCUAGCCUUAAUGUCAACUGCCCUCCCCCAACCCCCAGCAAGUCAGACUCAGCCUCUUAGAAGAAAAGAGUUAGGAAGACAGGGGACAGAUGGAAGUUGAGCAAGAUUGACCCUAAGGAUUAAGAGGAGAAGCCAAUCAUCUAGAUCAGGGGUCAGCCCACUGCCUGUUUUUGUAAGGCUUUAUCAGAUCACAGCCACACCCACCAUGUACAUAUGGUCUGUGAUGCUUUUGCUAUAAGGGCAAAGUUAAAGAGCUGGGACAGAGACACAUGGCUCUGAAAGCCUAAAAUAUUUACCAUCUGGGCCUUUAUAGAAAAAGUCUGCUGAACCUAGCCUGUCUGAAGGCCACGGAGAGAAAGCGCGUCUAACCCUUGCAUAGAUAUAGCUUCCUGCCACCUCCAGGCUUUUGAAAUUUUGUUACUAAUAUUUCCUCAUCUGUAAAAUGGGGACAAUGACACAUUCUACUUCGUAGGGUUGUUGAGAUGAUAAAAGAAUGCAAGGAAAGACAGCAAUGCCUGCCACAUGGUAAGCACUCAAUGAAAGUUAUGACUUCCUAUUCUUUUUCUCAUGUUAAAGCCUAGGGAAGGAAAGCUACUUGUCCAACGUCACAUGGCUAGUAAGAGGCAGAGCUGGAACUUGACCACUGGCUGUCUAACCUCAACGGCCGUGCUCCCAACCACUGCCAUUGUUGGUUCCUACCACAGCCCAGCCCCAUGUGGCAGCCUGACAGCCAAGCAGAGGGCACAGAGAUUCCAAGAAAUUUUUACCUGAUCGAGACUUGGCUAAUACUGAUCAUUGGCUUGGAGAAGAGCUAAGGCAUAGACUCAGUGUUCCCUAUCCCUGUGGAAUCCUACUGGCUUUGUAGUGUGAGCAGAACAUUCAAAGAUGCCGAAGGGUAGACGGAGCCAAAAUCUGCAAAUGCACAGACUCCAUGAUUGUUGGCAAGGGACCUGCCUCUUACUAGUUGGGUGACCUUGGACAAGUUAUUAAGCCUUUAAGGACCUCUAUUUUUCCUUCUGUGAAUGGAGCUAUCUACCCAUCUCCCGGGGGUGAUGGAAAGUUCAUGUGAGUGGAGGUCUGUGAUGGCACUUGGGAGGCUUGCCAGAAUCUGUGGACCACCAGGAAGACCCGUACCACCUUAGGAAGACUGCUCGAGGGGACGGCUCCCAUCUGCAGACUCACCUGUUUUUUUCUUCAGCUAGUUCCUCAGAAGCAAGACCUGCAAGGCCACGAGAGCCAAACGUGAUCAUUAUUCAAGGAUGUCCGGUCUCCACUGUGCAUCCUGUCUUUGCAAGCGGGUCAUUCUGCCUCUCAUCAGGAUGUUCUCAGCCAAUCUCUUCUGAGGAUCUCAUCCUGAGGUCAAGUGCUUGCAGCAACUGCCCCAUUUCCAGACUACAGCAGGCCAAAUGAGGAUUGGAUCGGAUUGGAGAAGACAGGUUUAUCUACCAAGACUCUUUCCUGAGCUGGGGUUGAAGGCCUCUGGUGGUAACUGGACAAUGCAGAUCAUUUCAUAUACUUCUUGAGUAGAAUUAAUUUGCAAAUAUGUAUAUCGGGCAGACUGAGUGUUUUAACAGUAAUAUGAGUGGUUGGAACUCAGUGGAAUAGUACCAGACCCCAUUUUCAUGAGAGUUGAUCCCUUUAGGAGUUGACUGAAGUCUUAUUCAUAAAACGUUGGCCACUCCACUCCACUGAUGGGAGCAACAAGCAGAAAGUCUCUUGAAUAGAGUUUGAGAGAAACCCCAAGAUCCAUCAUGUAUUGAGUGUCUACUAGGUACUGAGCACUUUACAUAUAUUACCUUUUCUUCUCUUAGCGCUGCUACACUGUGAUUGCCAUUUUGCAGGUCAAGUAACUGAGGCCCAGAGGUUACAGGACUUCUCCAAGGUCAUACAGCUGGCUGUGAUAGUGUUAGAACUCAGUAAAGGUUAAUGUCUCUUCCCUUUAUCUGGUUUUGGGCUCUUUUGGCUAACAUGUGCCAAGCAUGGAGUAGAGAAGUCUGAGGGCUUUCUUGGGAGCAGCUCCACCUUGGUGUUCCUAUUUGCUGAUCAUUUAUCAUAAAUUUUCAUCAAGCCAGCAUCAGCUUCAUCUGACAAGAGCUUUUCCCCCUUUGCUUUGGGAAUUCAUUUAUUUGAAAAAGAAAUUAUAGCUCUCACAUUAAAUCACAUUUAGUUUCCUUUUGAUAUAAUAGUUUUAUGGAAAAUAAUAAAAAUUUCUGAAUUGAAGAGUAUGAUGAUGAACCCUUAGGUUGGGGGCCUGUGGAGAGUCCACUCAGACACUUGCCCCAGUUACUUACAAUCCUAGCUGCCAUGUAGGAGGGCUUACUACAUGUCAGGCACUUUAGAUAUGGCAUCUCAUCUAAUCCUCACAAAAUGAUGUGAGGAAGGCCCAUCCGUUAUCAACCCCAUAUUACAGAUGAGAAAACUGAAGCUCAGAGAGACAGUGCUUGCAGCUAUCACUGAGUAAAAAGGUAGAACAAAAUUUGAAUCCAGCUCCAUCUGCCUCCAAAGUCCUGGUUCUUUCUAAUACAUAGUCGGAUAGUUAGUGCCAGGUCACCAUUCACUGGACCCAGAGGUAGAAUAACGUAGAAAAGUCACCAUCUGGCAGCCUCCUGGUUGAACUUGGCCUGCAGCAUGUUCUGCUUGAUGAGCUUCAACUUUUCAUUUCACCUUUUGGUUUGAAAUCUCUUUGAUGGAGUGCAUGGGCCCCGGUUUUAUAUGGGUCCCACUACUGGCCUCUGUCUCCUAACAGGAAGACCCCAAAAGCUUCUCAGCAAAAUCCUGUUGUCUCUAGGUUGAUUUGCAAGGCCUGGCUUGCUUCUUCACACUUAGCCUGUGCUGCCCUGUCACCUGUGAGUUGGCCACCCAGUUACAACCGACCUCUCAUUUUAUGGGCUCCCUCUGCAAGCCUGUGGCAAAGGAGGACUUGGGGCUGAUCUUCAGGCCCUCUUGGCCUUGUUCCCCCGGCAUCAUUUCUCUGCCCCCACCUGCACAGCCACUGGCUGGGGCGCUAUCCGCCCCCCCACGGGCCCAUGCAUCUGUUUGACCUCCUUUCAGGUUGGGGCAGGUCGCCCCAGUCAACCACCCUCCCAGUGCCCCGACCUCAGAGAACCGGAGGUCAGCCGGUGGUGCCUGGUGAGCCCCUGGAGCCGGCUCUCCCCUGGAGGGUACACGGGACAUUGGCCGAAACCUCGGAUUUGGUAGAACAAAGAGCUGGCUUUUUAAUUAUGUGGCCCAGACAGCUCCCCCCCCCAGCAGACGGAUGGAGAGGGGAGCCUCCCAGGGCUGCCUGGCGGACGCCCUGAUUUCCGCUCCUUCAAGUGGCCACUUGGAAGAGAAAGGAGCCAGUGAGCAAUCAAGCGUGAAGGACGAAACCCGGCAGGUGAGGACAAUCAGGCCGGAGCCGGGGUGCUCUGCAGAGGGAGUCUCCAGACAGCAGGGCGGACCAGCAGCUCCAGACAGCAGGGCGGACCCAGUGCUCCCUGCCGGGCCGAGGGUUCAGACACAGACGCAGACGCAGACGCCAGGCGGCCCGCUGGGCUGGAGACCGACCGCAGCCCCGUCCUCCGAGCCCUUGACCUGGCCAAGCCUCGGUGUCGUCAAUAGCAAAAACGGAGACGGUAACUCCCCUCUUCCAGCCUUUUCUGUAAAGAGUAAGGGAGCCAGUGUCUGGUCCCCGGCAGAGAGGGAGUCGGAAACAAGGGUGACAGCUAACCCUCCAGGGGUGCCCGCUGCUCCUCGGACGCCCGCGGUGCUGAAACCAGUUCGCAGUGGGAAUGGGGCUCCAGGUCUGGGUGCGGCCGUUCCCAAGCUGCGGUGCUGCUCCUGAGGACUCCAGGCUCCCUCCACGUGCCUCUGGAUGAGCGACCGGGACAUCCUCCCGACGGCAGGUUCUGUCGUCAUCUGGACUUCACAUGGAGACCACAUCCCCCAGUCUAGCUGCAUGGACGGCGUGGGCCAGGAGGAGGGUCAGAUGUAGAGAAAGUUCUGGUCAGAUGGGAUGAGGAAGCAGAGAGGCCGUCUCUUCUGGACCCGACUGGAUCAUUGGCAAAAGAAAAAGGGAGACCCGUGUAGGGCUGGGCUCAGAGGCCAGGCGGACAUGUGUGUACCUUCUCUCACGGGGGCGGGGGUGUUGUCUACAUCCCCGGUGAACGUGCAUACACCUCAGGAAAAGUGCCCGCAGCCAUGGGCGGCCUCGGUGGGGCAGGUGGCCACGGACAGGAGCCUGCACCCGGCUGCCUGCAUGAGGAUGCAGAUUCCGGAGUCCCCUGACUGGGGCUCAGAGCAGAAACCUGGGCCGAGCCCAUGGUCAGGAGAAGAGAUUGCUGCGGUCCCGACACUCACCUCUAGAGCCAUGGGGGCAGCCCGCUUGCCCUCUUGAGACUAGAAGGGCCCAGACACAGCCCUGCAGUCGCCUGUUGGGGAAGCAGCGCAGCCUGGCCCCCAGACCUGCCAGGCCCUCAACUGCUCCAUCUGAGUUUGGCUCCCUCUGCACCAGAGACCCCAGACACCUGCUUGGGGGGCGGCCUGGGUGCCUUCUAGAGGGGAGCUGGCCUAGAAAGAUGGCUCAAAGACUGAGCAUCCAUCCAGGAGACAGGGUCAUCCCAAAGACACUAGUUAAACAAGAAGAGGCCUGAAUGCCAUCAAUUUGCAAAUCCAGGUUUUUCUACUUGUCCCACCCCCACCCCCAGUGAGGGGGGGGGGACUCUGAAGAGUUAUGUGCAAUAAAGUGCUCUAUGUUUUCUUUA